AUGUUGAUGGUGUGGACAAUCACAAAGAAGUUCUUUGAAGCACUCCCAAGCAUGAUAAAGAUUCUCAUUUGUCUUCUAUUUGAAGUACACAAUCUCACUGUGAAGUUU
rfam:Capsicum annuum cultivar Zunla-1 chromosome 6, whole genome shotgun sequence